rnacentral:rRNA from 1 species
UACGGAGGGCGCGAGCGUUGUUCGGAAUCACUGGGCGUAAAGCGCGUGUAGGCGGCCGGGCAAGUCGGAUGUGAAAUCCCGAGGCUCAACCUCGGAACGGCAUUCGAAACUGCUCGGCUCGAGUCCCGGAGAGGAUGGCGGAAUUCCCGGUGUAGGGGUGAAAUCCGUAGAUAUCGGGAGGAACACCAGUGGCGAAGGCGGCGAUCUGGGAAGAUACUGACGCUGAGGUGCGAAAGCGUGGGGAGCAAACAGG